rnacentral:piRNA from 1 species
UCACUCAGCCUGUGCAUUGAA